GCCAGGUGUGGUGGCUCACACCUGUAAUCCCAGCACUUUGGGAGGCUGAGGUGGGCGGAUCACCUGAGGCCAGGAGUUUCAGACCAGCCUGGCCAACAUGGUGAAAUCCUAUCUCUA
rfam:Homo sapiens chromosome 9, GRCh38 reference primary assembly.